UCAGUCGACUCCUACGGGGAGGCAGCAGUGGGGAAUAUUGCACAAUGGGGGGAAACCCUGAUGCAGCCAUGCCGCGUGUGUGAAGAAGGCCUUCGGGUUGUAAAGCACUUUCAGUAGGGAGGAAGGUAGUGUAGUUAACACCUGCAUUAUUUGAUGUUACCUACAGAAGAAGCACCGGCUAACUCCGUGCCAGCAGCCGCGGUAAUACGGAGGGUGCGAGCGUUAAUCGGAAUUACUGGGCGUAAAGCGCAUGCAGGCGGCCUGUUAAGUCAGAUGUGAAAGCCCGGGGCUUAACCUCGGAAUUGCAUUUGAAACUGGCAGGCUAGAGUCUUGUAGAGGGGGGUAGGAAUUUCAGGUGUAGCGGUGAAAUGCGUAGAGAUCUGAAGGAAUACCAGUGGCGAAGGCGGCCCCCUGGACAAAGACUGACGCUCAGAUGCGAAAGCGUGGGGAGCAAACAGGAUUAGAUACCCUGGUAG
rnacentral:rRNA from 1 species